GCCGGGCGCGGUGGCUCACGCCUGUAAUCCCAGCACUUUGGAGGCUGAGGCGGGCGGAUCACCUGAGGUCAGGAGUUUGAGACCAGCCUGGCCAACAUGGUGAAACCCUGUCUCUA
rnacentral:SRP_RNA from 2 species